GGCAAAGUUCAUAGUCACUGUCAGAGUCUUCGCUGGAAGCCUGUGGGCCCGACUGCAUGCAGAUGGAGUUGCUGUCACCUGGCCACAUCCCUGCCACCUACCGGGUCAGGAGACACUUGUGUGUCCUGCAGACACUGGACCUCAAUGGAUGCUGAACAGCAGAUCAUCCCCAUGCAGUUUCUUGCAGAGACUUGAUAAACAGCAGCAUCGCUCUGGGUACAGCUAGGAAGACAACAGACAGUGUCUUUACUAUUUUUACACUCCACUGGGGAGACUCAGGCGCUGCUCUGUUCUGUACAUGUCCUCGAUGGCAUCCACCUCUACGAAGCUUCACACAAACAGAAUUACUCAGAGGACCAAAAAUUAGAAACAACCAGAAUAUCCAACUGAUAAUAAGCAUAUAGUCAUCUUCAGAACAAAGCGUAUUUUCUCUUAUGUAUCAACAAUACAUCCUAAGGUGAGAAAACUGUGCUGGAGUUAGAGGUGGAUUCCACAUUGAGCUUCAGAUCCUGUCCUUUCUUCUGAAAGACUAUUCUACUUCCUCAGCACCUUGCAGAUUAGGAAACUCACAGCUGCACUCUCCCUGCAUACGCUAAUAUCUACACAUACAUAUGCACAGGACGAUUCAAAAUGGAUGCAUUUGGGAUCGUGUACCUAAUAUGAAUACAAACUCCUCUCUACUAAACAUGGCCUCCAAUUUUUGGUAAACACUUCAAAGUGGUAAUGUACUUUGAGACUUAAAAUGCAUUUGGGUCCUAAUUUCCAAUACCUGCACCUGCUUAUUGGCCAUCAGCAUGUUUUAAUACAGGGUGUGUCACAUCCUUGGUUUCAGUUCAGAACUCUAGGAGCACACAAGCUCUCUCUAUUUCCCCUUUGCUGGACUGCUGAUAUAAUCAAACUACAUGCCUUCAGAACACUGCUCUGGCUCGACUAAAGGAAGUUUACUCCUCCCCCCCACACACACACACAAGAAGAAGCUGUGGAAAGAAGAUAGUUUGAGCAGAAGCAGACAAAAUGCUGGACUUGCUCUCAUCUAUUUUUAAAUGGUUGUCAGAUGUCUGUAACUGACACCCUUAAUUGGAAAUUCUGAGGUUUAAAUAUGUUCAUUAAGAUUUACUAAAAUGUAACAUGAUGAUGAAUCCACUUUUUAAUUGAUUUCCCUUUUGGGCUGAUUUUUAAUCUCAAGGUUUCUUUAAUAUAUUUAGUGACAGUGUAGGUCUGCAUAAGUCAUUUUUAAAUACCCAGUGGUUUUCCAGCAACUUGAUCUAUUCCUGCACAACACACUGCUGCCCACCUAGAAAGCUAACAUGUUCUAAUCAUUCAGAUAAUCCAAUGCAAAAUGAAUAUUUGAAAAAAAUAUUCAAACACCCAGGCCUAGUAUCAACUAAAUAUUUGCCUUGAUUCCUCAAGUUUACAGUGGAUAUGAUUUUCAUUUACAAAUCGAUCCUUUGGGCCAUUUUUUGUGUUUGUUAUUUCUAACUGCUAAGACAGAUGUGAAAGGAAUGGUUUUAAUCAGUGGCAAACCAAAAUAAACAAACUUUUUAAAAUGU